rnacentral:rRNA from 1 species
GAGAAAGUAAGCAAGGGCAGACGGUGGAUGCCUUGGCUCUCGGAGGCGACGAAGGACGUGAUAAGCUGCGAAAAGCUCGGGGGAGGCGCAAAUAGCCGUUGAUCCCGGGAUAUCCGAAUGGGGCAACCCGGCAGGCUGAAGGCCUGUCAUCCCGUAAGGGAGGCGAACGUGGGGAACUGAAAAUGAUUCCGUAAGUAGUGGCGAGCGAACACGGAAGAGCCCAAACCCAUGUCGUCUAGGCGACACGGGGGUUGUAGGACCACGACGUGGCAAGAAAGCAGGGAAAUGGAAGCGCUUGGAAAAGCGCGCCAUAGACGGUGAAAGCCCGGUACAUGACUCCCUGCCGAAGCCUAGUGGUAUCCUGAGUAGCGCGGGGCACGAGAAAUCUUGCGUGAAACAGCGGGGCCCAUCCCGUAAGGCUAAAUACUCCCGAGAGACCGAUAGCGAACCAGUACCGUGAGGGAAAGGUGAAAAGAACCCCGAGCAGGGGAGUGAAAUAGACCCUGAACCCGUCUGCCUACAAGCGGUCGGAGCAUCGUCAAGAUGUGACGGCGUGCCUUUUGCAUAAUGAACCUACGAGUUACCUUCCCCGGCAAGGUUAAGUACCUAAGGUACGGAGCCGAAGCGAAAGCGAGUCUGAAGAGGGCGGCCAGUCGGGGGGGGUAGACGCGAAACCGAGUGAUCUACCCUUGGCCAGGUUGAAGGUUGGGUAACACCAACUGGAGGACCGGAUGGGUAAGCGUUGAAAAGCUUUCCAAUGAGCUGAGGGUAGGGGUGAAAGGCUAAUCAAACUCGGAGAUAGCUCGUACUCCCCGAAAUGCAUUUAGGUGCAGCCUCUUUAUAGUAUAUCGUGAGGUAGAGCGACUGAUUGGAUGCGAGGGCUUCACCGCCUAUCAAGUCCAGAUAAACUCCGAAUGCGCGAUAUAUAUUUAAAGGGAGUGAGGGCGCGGGUGCUAAGGUCCGUGUCCGAGAGGAGAAGAAUCCAGACCACCGGCUAAGGCCCCCAAAUGAUCGUUAAGUUGAACUAACGAGGUCGGAUCGCAGAGACAGCUAGGAUGUUGGCUUGGAAGCAGCCAUUCAUUUAAAGAGUGCGUAACAGCUCACUAGUCGAGCGAUCUGGCGUGGAUAAUAAUCGGGCAUAAACGAUCUGCCGAAGCCGUGGAUGUCGCAAGACAUGGUAGGGGAGCAUUCCAUGCGGCGUCGAAGAUGAGGGAUGACCCUUGUUGGAGCGCAUGGAAAAGCAAAUGUAGGUAUGAGUAACGAUAAGGGGGGCGAGAAACCCCCCCGCCGAAAGACCAAGGUUUCCUGAUCAACGCUAAUCGGAUCAGGGUGAGUCGGGACCUAAGGCUAAGCCGAACGGCGACGCCGAUGGAAGAAUGGGUUAAUAUUCCCAUACUGCCUCAUGGAGUGACGUGGAGACGGAGAAGUGACAGUCCUGCCGGCUGACGGAAUAGCCGGUUGAAGGGUGUAGAUAUUGAUUCCCGUAGGCAAAUCCGCGGGGAGAGUCGAACCUGAGAGUAUACCGAGUACUUGUACGAGGUAAUAUGGACGUAACCAUGCUCCCAAGAAAAUCCGCUAAACUUAUCCAUGCGGCACCCGUACCGUAAACGGACACACGUGGUCGGGUUGAGAAUACUGAGGCGCUCGAGUGAUUCACGGUUAAGGAACUAGGCAAAUUGACCCUGUAACUUCGGGAUAAAGGGUCCUCGUCGUAAGGCGAGGCGCAGAGAAUAGGUCCAGGCAACUGUUUAACAAAAACACAUGGCUGUGCUAAAUGGAAACAUGACGUAUACAGCCUGACACCUGCCCGGUGCUGGAAGGUUAAGAGGAGAUGUCAUCGCAAGAGAAGCGUUGAAUUGAAGCCCCAGUAAACGGCGGCCGUAACUNNNNNNNNNNNNNNNNNNNNNNNNNNNNNNNNNNNNNNNNNNNNNNNNNNNGCUCGGUGAAAUUGUAGUAUCGGUGAAGAUGCCGAUUACCCGCGAUGGGACGAAAAGACCCCGUGAACCUUUACUAUAGCUUUACAUUGAAUUUGGGCAGACGAUGUGUAGGAUAGGCCGGAGGCUUUGAAGGGGGUACGCCAGUAUCCUUGGAGCCGCCGUUGAAAUACGGCCCUUCGGUUGUUUGAGUUCUAACUCCCGGACGGGAGGACACUGUAUGGUGGGUAGUUUGACUGGGGUGGUCGCCUCCAAAAGCGUAACGGAGGCUUCUAAAGGUGCCCUCAGACCGAUUGGUAACCGGUCGCAGAGUGUAAUGGCAUAAGGGCGCUUGACUGGGAGAGAUACAACUCGAUCAGGUAGGAAACUAGAGCAUAGUGAUCCGGUGGUUCCGCAUGGAAGGGCCAUCGCUCAAAGGAUAAAAGAAGGUCCCAAGGGUUGGGCUGUUCGCCCAUUAAAGUGGCACGCGAGCUGGGUUCAGAACGUCGUGAGACAGUUCGGUCUCUAUCUAUCGUGGGCGCAGGAGAUUUGAGGGGCUCUGACACUAGUACGAGAGGACCGUGUUGGACGUACCACUGGUUUACCGGUUGUCCCGCCAGGGGCACCGCCGGGUAUCUAAGUACGGA